UACGUAGGGGGCAAGCGUUAUCCGGAAUUACUGGGUGUAAAGGGUGAGUAGGCGGCAUGGUAAGCCAGAUGUGAAAGCCUUGGGCUUAACCCGAGGAUUGCAUUUGGAACUAUCAAGCUAGAGUACAGGAGAGGAAAGCGGAAUUCCUAGUGUAGCGGUGAAAUGCAUAGAUAUUACACAGAACACCGAUUGCGAAGGCAGCUUGCUAGGCCGGAUCUGACACUGAUGCACGAAAGCGUGGGGAUCGAACAGG
rnacentral:rRNA from 1 species